AUCUCCCUCGAGUGUCUGCCAGUUGACUACGUCCCUGAGCCGAUUCUUACCACACUGGGGAUUGCAUUUUAGAUUGGUGAGCAUGUCCGCAAGCGGAAAGCCUAAAGGUCUGACGUAAUCUCCGCCUUGAACUUUCGGGUUCAAGGGCUAUGCCGACAGCGUCACGUCUGGGGAGUCC
rnacentral:other from 1 species